ACCCUAGCUCUCGCCACUGUCAUCCCCUCAUCUCUCUCUCCUUCACCAAACACACAACAGCCCUUCACCUCCUCCUCCUCCCGUUCCCCCCCACCAACAGAGUACAAGGAUCAUCUUAUCCUGGUUUCACUCCUCCAGGACGAUGGCAAGAACUAUAAGCAACGAACCAUCACAAAAAUGACAUCAUUACAUUACACAUGCUUGUUGUUUUACUGAUCACUCCAGAGGAACAUCACGCCAGUACCUCUGUCUCCAAAUGACACUGGAACAUGCUUGGUCGUUGGGAACGGGCUUCCCAGUUUGCCAAACAAUUUGAGUUGAGAAAGGCAAACACACGAGUUUUGAGAGAUGAGCUGUUAUUCUUGGAAAGAUUUAUAUAUAUGGGUAAGAUACCAAGAUUUGGAUCUCAAUACGAUGCCAAGUAAUCAAACAACAGAAGCCAUUCCACAAUAUGCUCUGAAAAGAAGCACGCUGGCUACAGGGCCUGUGGAUCCCUCCACUCAGUUUUAUUUUUUGAUAAUAACCAUCACUCAUUGCUGUCUUUUUCUUAAUUAAAUUACAAGGCAUGCAUCGUUUUUGUUCUCUCUCUCUCACACCUGUGGAAUUCGUGGGUGCCCAUCUGAGUUGGGGAAUUGAUUUCAUGUCUGGAAGAACAAGAAAAGGAAGAAAGAAACCUGGUGGUGGAGUACUUCCCUUGCCAACACUUGUUGGGAUUGGUUUAUAAAAUACUUGGUGGGUUUUUUCAAGAUCAAAUUAUAUGUAAAAUUACAUGUUUAAAACCAUGUUAGAUUUAAUGAUUCAACUUUACUACUU